AAUGUGAAUUGCAGAAUUCAGUGAAUCAUCGAAUCUUUGAACGCACAUUGCGCCCCCUGGUAUUCCGGGGGGCAUGCCUGUUCGAGCGUCAUUUCACCACUCAAGCCUCGCUUGGUAUUGGGCGUCGCGAGUCCCUCGCGCGCCUCAAAGUCUCCGGCUGAG
rnacentral:rRNA from 1 species